rnacentral:rRNA from 1 species
UACGAAGGGUGCAAGCGUUACUCGGAAUUACUGGGCGUAACGCGUGCGUAGGUGGUUCGUUAAGUCUGAUGUGAAAGCCCUGGGCUCAACCUGGGAACUGCAUUGGAUACUGGCGGUCUAGAGUGCGGUAGAGGGUGGCGGAAUUCCCGGUGUAGCAGUGAAAUGCGUAGAUAUCGGGAGGAACAUCCGUGGCGAAGGCGGCCACCUGGACCAGCACUGACACUGAGGCACGAAAGCGUGGGGAGCAAACAGGG